rnacentral:lncRNA from 1 species
UGUAUAUUUUACAGUACGUACACUAUACUGCAAAAUAUACAGUUUUUUAGAAAUGUUAAAUGUGGAUGUUAAAUAUAAAUGUAUUGUAUUUUAUACUACACACGUUUUCGAUAAAUCGCCAAUCCCGAUUAGCCGCCAAAAUCGUCCCCAAACGGAUGGUGGGGUCUUAUCGUGGUUUGGCUGUAUAUUGUACAAGUAUACUUCCUAGUGUGAGGAUCCGGGACGGGCUAUGUCAGAUGGACCGAGUUAAGUUUUGUUUUAAUUUAGAAUAAGGCGCGUAAGUAAGUGGCACAGGGAUCCAGGGAUGGAAGACUGAUGCAAAAGUUAGUUUUCAAGCAAGC